rnacentral:rRNA from 1 species
GGCAGCCGCCGCGGUAACACCGGCGGCCCGAGUGGUGAUCGUGAUUAUUGGGUCUAAAGGGUCCGUAGCCGGUUUGGUCAGUCCUCCGGGAAAUCUGAUAGCUCAACUAUUAGGCUUUCGGGGGAUACUGCCAGACUUGGAACCGGGAGAGGUAAGAGGUACUACAGGGGUAGGAGUGAAAUCUUGUAAUCCCUGUGGGACCACCUGUGGCGAAGGCGUCUUACCAGAACGGGUUCGACGGUGAGGGACGAAAGCUGGGGGCACGAACCGGAUUAGAUACCCGGGUAGUCCCAGCCGUAAACGAUGCUCGCUAGGUGUCAGGCAUGGCGCGACCGUGUCUGGUGCCGCAGGGAAGCCGUGAAGCGAGCCACCUGGGAAGUACGGCCGCAAGGCUGAAACUUAAAGGAAUUGGCGGGGGAGCACAACAACGGGUGGAGCCCUGCGGUUUAAUUGGACUCAACGCCGGACAACUCACCGGGGGCGACAGCAAUAUGUAGGCCAAGCUGAAGACUUUGCCUGAAUCGCUGAGGAGUGGUGCAUGG